rnacentral:tRNA from 1 species
UCCCUGGUAGUCCAGUGAGGAAGACUCCAUGCUUACAAUGUAGGGAACACAGGUUUGAUUCCUGGUCAGGGAA